rnacentral:misc_RNA from 1 species
UUCUUUUCUACUUACCAGUCUCGUAAGUCUCAAAGAGAGUGGUUGAUUAUCCAAGGCCUCCAUCACUUCUGAAGAUACACUCUAAAUUCAAGCAUGUGGCAUUUCAUCAUGAAUUAGUGCUACCACCAGCCAAAAAACAUAUUGUUCAAUGACAAUAUACCUUUAAAACAUCUGCAGCCGCAUCUGUUCGCUCCUUGUUCCAGAGAUUCAACAUGAGCACAGUUAAGUGA